GGAAAACUGAAUCUGACUACUGGUGUGUAAAACAAAGAACAAGGCCAUAUGACCACCAAUCCACAUACCAAAUAGUAUGACCUAUCAUGUAUAAUCAUGUAUAAUUAAUAAGUAAAAGAACUUAUUCUAAAACCUAAAUACAACCACUGCAGUGUGACCACAGGCUAACAAGGUCUCUUCAAAAACUAUUUAGAUAAACAUUUUGAUCUUCCUUUUAUAUAACAGUGGGAUUGAAAUUAUUUACAAUUGUUAAUGCUGUUGCUACAAGGAAAGUAAAACAAAUGUCUUGUUUACUGCAAUGCUCAUUGCAUGAGAGACAAAAAAACCAAAACAAAUUGUAAAAAAUUAUCAUUACUCAAUCAUUGUUCUAUAUAAUAAUAUAUAACAGAAAUUUAAAAAAAGAAAAUUAAUGAAAAUGUCUAUCCAUGAAACUUUUAUUAAUAAUUAUAAGAUAUACAGAUUAAUUCUUUUUAAUGAAAAAUAAGUUUUAAUAAAUUUGAAUGAACAUGUUCAAUUAGAUCAUCUAACAUAAAACUACUGAAAAAAGGGUUAAAAGAGUAUUUCUUAACAAAAUAGCUGCUCUAUGCAAUAGUUGUCUCCAAUUACAUCAAUUUAAUCAUUUACAUAAGGUCCUAUGAUUGUUAAAUCCAUACAGAAAAUUAAACUAGAUUUUGUCUUACAUAUUAGCAAGUUUAUACACAUACCUCUUUACAUUUUUACUGAUGUUUUGAGGUUCAAUCUUAUUUUAUUCCGUACCAUAAUUUGUACUAUGAAAUCAAGUCAUCAUAUUCUUUCUCAUUUUCAGUUGUAAUUUAUUAGUGUGUUAAUGUGGAAUGUUGAAUGUUUCAUGGAGAUUAAAAAUAUGUACAUUUGUAUCUUACGGUAAACUCUUUGAUCUUUUUAGCGUUAUAAUGAAACACAACUAAAGGAAAAUCUAACCAAGACAGACAACCUUUCCUACAUCAAUAUUGCAUACAAAUGAAAAAGAAUGUGUAUGUAAAACAAUACAUCCUACUAGUAUUGCAACCAAAAAUAAAUCUACAAAAAAAAAGCUUUUCUGUAAGUUUCCAUGUCAUACAAAUUCUGGUGUUAUUCAAACCUCAAAACAAUAUCAUUUCAUGUGCACCUGAGAGUCAUACAAUCAAAAGAAGGUAUAUUGAACAAAAAUAUUUCACAUUUUAAAACAAAAAUUUUGUUAACAAUUUUUAAGUAUAAAACUGUGGGUCCAAUAUAUCCUGCAUAUUUGCAUGGUUUAUAAUGGAUAAAAUUUAACCCCUUUACUACCUGUGCUUAAAAUACAUGUGAAAUUUGAAAUCAGUUUCAAAAUUAGAAAUUUAUUUACCUAUUAGAACACAUUACUCAGUGGUUAUUGUUGUAUUAGAAGUAUCAGAUAUGCAUUGCAAAAUCCCUACUGAAAUAAACAUCAGGUUGGUUUGCAACACAGUCUGAUACAAGUCUCCAGUGUAGGAUUGGCUUAACAAAAUCUGUAUAAGAAACCUGAUUUUCAUCGAGGAAUGUGACGGUUCUAAUAUUGUUUACUGUAAAACUUAUUCCCAGAUAUGUAAUAAAAAUUGGUAGCCGAAUGGACAACAACAUUAGAAUGGAAUGGAACAUUUUAUUAGCAUUAAAUCCAUUAAGUCAAGUCUUAGUCAUUAUAUCGUAAACAUAUUUGUUAGAAGUUACUUUUUAAGUAGUCCAGCAGUUUGAAAAAUUGAUAAUAUGAAAAAUUUACAAAUGGACAAGGUGCACUAAAUGAUGACAAACAAUUUAGCUGGCCUUUGGCUUGGUAUUAAAUUUUACAAAAAGUUGCAAAUUUCGUUUAACAAUGUAUUAGGAUCACUGGGUUUUAAUAUUAGACAUAGACUACAGAUGAUUAAAGAUAACCAUCAAAAUGCAUGGUCCUAAGACCAGAUUAUGGUAACUAAAAAGGGUGACUAAGACACAAAAUGUAAGAUAUUGUUUGAAUUUAGAAAGUUUUGCAAAGUUUUUACGAGUUGCAAAAAAUAAAAAAAUAAAUUUGAUAGAUUAUUGUACACAACAAGUCUGGAAAUCCUUAUGAUCAAACUCAAAUGUUUGUCCAUUGUACAACAAUCAUUAAAAUGAUUGUAUGCAAAAAAAAUCUGAAUUUACAGUAUUCAAUAAAGUCUCCACAUUCAACAAGAUAUUAUUAACACAUCUUUUAACUUCCAUAGUCUUUAAUGCAAUACAAUUCAUUGUAAAUUAAGUUUAAAUCAGACAAACCUUCUAUUUUACGGCAGUAUGCAAUACAAUUAACUACAAAUAAUUUCAAUCUAUAAAAAAAAAACAUCUAUCUGUAAUGUGUGUAUUAACAAAUUUCGUAAGUAUUUAAUGAACAAUAUUUCUAUCUCUUUAAAGCAUAACUCUUUAAAAACAAAAUAUAAGCUCUGACAUCACAAUUCAAAACUUCAUAUAAAUUUGUUGACAAUCAGUGCUUUAUAUAAUUCAGAAUGCUUGUGACCUGAUCCAGCUCUGCAGUUACCAAUAUAAGAAAUAUUAAACCCAUAAUUAAAUUAUACAAACUAAAAUGAGGUAAC
rnacentral:lncRNA from 1 species